UGCCAUCCAAGUAUCAGGUCCUGGAA
rnacentral:piRNA from 1 species